AUUAAACGCUGGCGGCAUGCCUUACACAUGCAAGUCGAACGGCAGCACGGGGGCAACCCUGGUGGCGAGUGGCGGACGGGUGAGUAAAGCAUCGGAACGUAUCCUGGAGUGGGGGGAUAACGUAGCGAAAGUUACGCUAAUACCGCAUAUUCUGUGAGCAGGAAAGCAGGGGAUCGCAAGACCUUGCGCUCUGGGAGCGGCCGAUGUCGGAUUAGCUAGUUGGUGGGGUAAAGGCCUACCAAGGCGACGAUCCGUAGCGGGUCUGAGAGGAUGAUCCGCCACACUGGGACUGAGACACGGCCCAGACUCCUACGGGAGGCAGCAGUGGGGAAUUUUGGACAAUGGGCGCAAGCCUGAUCCAGCCAUGCCGCGUGAGUGAAGAAGGCCUC
rnacentral:rRNA from 1 species